rnacentral:rRNA from 1 species
AUUGAACGCUGGCGGCAGGCUUAACACAUGCAAGUCGAGCGGUAGCACAGGGGAGCUUGCUCCCUGGGUGACGAGCGGCGGACGGGUGAGUAAUGUCUGGGAAACUGCCUGAUGGAGGGGGAUAACUACUGGAAACGGUAGCUAAUACCGCAUAACGUCGCAAGACCAAAGAGGGGGACCUUCGGGCCUCUUGCCAUCAGAUGUGCCCAGAUGGGAUUAGCUAGUAGGUGGGGUAAUGGCUCACCUAGGCGACGAUCCCUAGCUGGUCUGAGAGGAUGACCAGCCACACUGGAACUGAAACACGGUCCAGACUCCUACGGGAGGCAGCAGUGGGGAAUAUUGCACAAUGGGCGCAAGCCUGAUGCAGCCAUGCCGCGUGUGUGAAGAAGGCCUUCGGGUUGUAAAGCACUUUCAGCGAGGAGGAAGGUGGUGAGCUUAAUACGUUCAUCAAUUGACGUUACUCGCAGAAGAAGCACCGGCUAACUCCGUG